UCGCCAGACUCCUACGGGAGGCAGCAGUGAGGAAUAUUGGUCAAUGGGCGGGAGCCUGAACCAGCCAAGUCGCGUGAGGGAAGACGGUCCUACGGAUUGUAAACCUCUUUUGCCGGGGAGCAAGCGUGCGUUCGUGAACGCGCGUCGAGAGUACCCGGAGAAAAAGCAUCGGCUAACUCCGUGCCAGCAGCCGCGGUAAUACGGAGGAUGCGAGCGUUAUCCGGAUUUAUUGGGUUUAAAGGGUGCGUAGGCGGGCUUUUAAGUCAGCGGUAAAAAUUCGGGGCUCAACCCCGUCCGGCCGUUGAAACUGGGGGCCUUGAGUGGGCGAGAAGAAGGCGGAAUGCGUGGUGUAGCGGUGAAAUGCAUAGAUAUCACGCAGAACCCCGAUUGCGAAGGCAGCCUUCCGGCGCCCUACUGACGCUGAGGCACGAAAGUGCGGGGAUCGAACAGGAUUAGAUACCCUGGUA
rnacentral:rRNA from 1 species